rnacentral:lncRNA from 1 species
CGAUUGGAAUCGAGUUAAUGAAAAGUGGUUUUUGAUCUCAUGAUAACUUCUGGUUCGUUCAAUUUUGGCAAAUUUCUAGCCUAAUUCAAUUGGAAUUGAGCAAAUGAAUAGUGAUUUUUGAUUGCAUGACAACUUCGGGUUUGUUCAUUUUUGGAAAAUAUCUUGUCUAACUCGAUCGGAAUUGAGCCGAUGAAUAGUGGUUU